rnacentral:rRNA from 1 species
CAGAGAACUUUCCAGAGAUGGAUUGGUGCCUUCGGGAACUCUGAGACAGGUGCUGCAUGGCUGUCGUCAGCUCGUGUUGUGAAAUGUUGGGUUAAGUCCCGCAACGAGCGCAACCCUUAUCCUUGUUUGCCAGCGAGUAAUGUCGGGAACUCCAGGGAGACUGCCGGUGAUAAACCGGAGGAAGGUGGGGACGACGUCAAGUCAUCAUGGCCCUUACGAGUAGGGCUACACACGUGCUACAAUGGCGCAUACAGAGGGCAGCAAGCUAGCGAUAGUGAGCGAAUCCCAAAAAGUGCGUCGUAGUCCGGAUUGGAGUCUGCAACUCGACUCCAUG